GAAGCUGACCAGACAGUCGCCGCUUCGUCGUCGUCCUCUUCGGGGGAGACGGGCGGAGGGGAGGAAAGUCCGGGCUCCAUAGGGCAGGGUGCCAGGUAACGCCUGGGGGGGAAACCCACGACCAGCGCAACAGAGAGCAAACCGCCGAUGGCCCACGUAAGUGGGAUCAGGUAAGGGUGAAAGGGUGCGGUAAGAGCGCACCGCGCGGCUGGUAACAGUCCGUGGCACGGUAAACUCCACCCGGAGCAAGGCCAAAUAGGGGUUCACAAGGUACGGCCCGUACUGAACCCGGGUAGGCUGCUUGAGCCAGUGAGCGAUUGCUGGCCUAGAUGAAUGACUGUCCACGACAGAACCCGGCUUAUCGGUCAGCUUCACUC
rnacentral:RNase_P_RNA from 1 species